UGUCAACUUUCUCUAUCAGAAUGGCUGAUGUCUGUCGGUGCUGGGAAAAACAAUGUUAUCCGAAAACUUAUUUUAUUCAUACCACUUUAAAAAAAUAGGAAAGUGGACACCAGAAA